rnacentral:rRNA from 1 species
AGAGUUUGAUCCUGGCUCAGAACGAACGCUGGCGGCAGGCUUAACACAUGCAAGUCGAACGCGUGUAGCAAUACACGAGUGGCGCACGGGUGAGUAACGCGUGGAUAUCUGCCUUUUGGUUCGGAAUAACUCCGGGAAACUGGAGCUAAUACCGGAUGGUUCCUUCGGGAUAAAGAUUUAUCGCCAAAAGAUGAGUCCGCGUACGAUUAGCUAGUUGGUGGGGUAAUGGCUCACCAAGGCGACGAUCGGUAACUGGUCUGAGAGGACGACCAGUCACACUGGGACUGAGACACGGCCCAGACUCCUACGGGAGGCAGCAGUGGGGAAUAUUGGACAAUGGGGGCAACCCUGAUCCAGCGAUGCCGCGUGAGUGAAGAAGGCCUUCGGGUCGUAAAGCUCUUUAGGUUGGGAAGAAGGGUGCGAGGGUAAUAUCCUUGUACUUUGACGGUACCGACAGAAUAAGCACCGGCAAACUCUGUGCCAGCAGCCGCGGUAAUACAGAGGGUGCGAGCGUUAAUCGGAUUUACUGGGCGUAAGGGGUGCGUAGGCGGUUUUAUGAGUGUGAUGUGAAAGCCCUGGGCUCAACCUAGGAAGUGCAUCGCAAACGAUAGAACUGGAGUAUGUGAGAGGGUGGCGGAAUUUCCGGUGUAGCGGUGAAAUGCGUAGAUAUCGGAAGGAACGUCGAUGGCGAAGGCAGCCACCUGGCACAAUACUGACGCUGAGGCACGAAAGCGUGGGGAUCAAACAGGAUUAGAUACCCUGGUAGUCCACGCUGUAAACGAUGAUAACUAGAUGUUGGUAGGGGAACCUAUCGGUAUCGAAGCUAACGCGAUAAGUUAUCCGCCUGGGAAGUACGGCCGCAAGGUUGAAACUCAAAGGAGUUGACGGGGGCCCGCACAAGCGGUGGAGCAUGUGGUUUAAUUCGAUGCAACGCGAAGAACCUUACCUACCCUUGACAUCCCGCGAAUCCUGCAGAGAUGUGGGAGUGCCGAAAGGAACGCGGAGACAGGUGCUGCAUGGCUGUCGUCAGCUCGUGUUGUGAGAUGUUGGGUUAAGUCCCGUAACGAGCGCAACCCUUGCCCUUAGUUGCCAGCAUUUAGUUGGGGACUCUAAGGGGACUGCCGGUGAUGAACCGGAGGAAGGCGGGGACGACGUCAAGUCAUCAUGGCCUUUAUGGGUAGGGCUACACACGUGCUACAAUGGGGCGUACGGAGGGUUGCCAACCCGCGAGGGGGAGCUAAUCUCUUAAAGCGUCUCGUAGUCCAGAUUGGAGUCUGCAACUCGACUCCAUGAAGUCGGAAUCGCCAGUAAUCGCGAAUCAGCAUUGUCGCGUUGAAUACGUUCCCGGGCCUUGUACACACCGCCCGUCACGUCAUGGGAGUGGAUGGUACCAGAAGUGGGUAGUUUAACCGCAAGGGGAACGCUUACCACGGUAUGAUUCAUGACUGGGACGAAGUCGUAACAAGGUA